GUUUGUUAGGGUUUUCUGCAGCUAGACAGGAGAUAUCUAGUUGUGAUUUACCCACUUUGAUCCAGGGAAAAGUUGCUUUGAGGCUUGAUAUAGGUCUUUGGAGCCUCUUUAAGCGGAACGUGUACUCUUAGAAGCUGGUUUGGAGGGUAUUCUAAUUAAGGCGAGAGUGCGACCGAGCUUUGGAUCACCUUUAGUGAACCUGUGAGAGCUCUUGGAGACUCAUCUUGAGCAGAGUUGAGACCUUGUGGAGCUGAUUUUGGGAGUUCCUUUGGACUGAUUGGAGCUUUGUAAUAGAGCCAUCUACAGGAGAGGCUAGGGAUCGUGGCAAGGG